AACGGUAACAGGGUGCUUGCACCGCUGACGAGUGGCGAACGGGUGAGUAACGCAUCGGAAUGUACCGUGUAAUGGGGGAUAGCUCGGCGAAAGCCGGAUUAAUACCGCAUACGCCCUGAGGGGGAAAGUGGGGGACCGUAAGGCCUCACGUUAUACGAGCAGCCGAUGUCUGAUUAGCUAGUUGGUGAGGUAAGAGCUCACCAAGGCGACGAUCAGUAGCGGGUCUGAGAGGAUGAUCCGCCACACUGGGACUGAGACACGGCCCAGACUCCUACGGGAGGCAGCAGUGGGGAAUUUUGGACAAUGGGCGCAAGCCUGAUCCAGCCAUGCCGCGUGUCUGAAGAAGGCCUUCGGGUUGUAAAGGACUUUUGUUCGGGAGGAAAUCCCGCUGGUUAAUACCUGGCGGGGAUGACAGUACCGGAAGAAUAAGCACGGCU
rnacentral:rRNA from 1 species